UACGGAGGGUGCAAGCGUUGUCCGGAAUCACUGGGCGUAAAGGGCGCGUAGGCGGCCCGGUAAGUAGGGGGUGAAAUCCUGCGGCUUAACCGCAGGGCUGCCUUCUAAACUGUCGGGCUCGAGCACGGUAGAGGCAGAUGGAAUUCCCGGUGUAGCGGUGGAAUGCGUAGAGAUCGGGAAGAACAUCAGUGGCGAAGGCGGUCUGCUGGGCCGUUGCUGACGCUGAGGCGCGAAAGCGUGGGGAGCAAACAGG
rnacentral:rRNA from 1 species